rnacentral:rRNA from 1 species
GAUGAACGCUGGCGGCGUGCCUAAUACAUGCAAGUAGAACGCUGAAGGAGGAGCUUGCUCUUCUGGAUGAGUUGCGAACGGGUGAGUAACGCGUAGGUAACCUGCCUGGUAGCGGGGGAUAACUAUUGGAAACGAUAGCUAAUACCGCAUGACAACAGUUAUUGCAUGAUAACUGUUUAAAAGGGGCAACUGCUCCACUACCAGAUGGACCUGCGUUGUAUUAGGUAGUUGGUGUGGUAACGGCUCACCAAGGCGACGAUACAUAGCCGACCUGAGAGGGGGAUCGGCCACACUGGGACUGAGACACGGCCCAGACUCCUACGGGAGGCAGCAGUAGGGAAUCUUCGGCAAUGGACGGAAGUCUGACCGCGCAACGCCGCGUGAGUGAAGAAGGUCUUCGGAUCGUAAAGCUCGGUUGUAAGGGAAGAACGAGUGUGAGAGUGGAAAGUUCACACUGUGACGGUAUCUUACCAGAAAGGGACGGCUAACUACGUG